AUGGUUAAGCAAAAGAUUGUUCUCAAGUUGGCUCUGGAUGACGAGAGGAAGAGGAGGAAGGCCUUCAAGGCUGCCGUUGGCAUGUCAGGUAUGAACAAGCCACAGAUAACAGUUAAUCGGUUAAUCCAUAAUCCGUCGUUCCAAUCUUCUUCUUGUGCUUACGAGGAGGUGCUCAAUUUCAAUUCUGCAGGCGUGACAUCCGCGGCGAUGGAGGGGGAAAAGAUCAUCAUCGUCGGGGACAGUGUCGACCCGAUCACGCUGACGACGGUGCUCCGGCGCAGCCUAGGCUACGCAGAGCUCCUCAGCGUGUCGUCCGGCGACGACAAGAAGAAGGAUGGCUACGGCGCCGCCUAUGGGUACGGCGCCGGCGAGAAGAAGAAGGACGGCUAUGGAUACGGCGGCGACGGCGGCGGGAGCUUUGGCGGCAAGGAGGAUGGCGGUUCCAAAGGUGGCGGCGGGGGCGGCUACUCUCAGAACGCGGUUGCGCCGAUCACGUACCCCGCCUAUCAGCAGUACAACGCCAUGCCGUCCUACCCGGUUUACUCCUCCUACCAUGCUCCUCCUGCUUAUCAGCACCAAGAACAGGAUACCGGCUGCAGCAUUAUGUAG
rnacentral:rRNA from 1 species